AUUGAACGCUGGCGGCAGGCUUAACACAUGCAAGUCGAGCGGAGAUGAGGUGCUUGCACCUUAUCUUAGCGGCGGACGGGUGAGUAAUGCUUAGGAAUCUGCCUAUUAGUGGGGGACAACAUUCCGAAAGGAAUGCUAAUACCGCAUACGCCCUACGGGGGAAAGCAGGGGAUCUUCGGACCUUGCGCUAAUAGAUGAGCCUAAGUCGGAUUAGCUAGUUGGUGGGGUAAAGGCCUACCAAGGCGAGGAUCUGUAGCGGGUCUGAGAGGAUGAUCCGCCACACUGGGACUGAGACACGGCCCAGACUCCUACGGGAGGCAGCAGUGGGGAAUAUUGGACAAUGGGCGGAAGCCUGAUCCAGCCAUGCCGCGUGUGUGAAGAAGGCCUUCUGGUUGUAAAGCACUUUAAGCGAGGAGGAGGCUACCUGGAUUAAUACUCUAGGAUAGUGGACGUUACUCGCAGAAUAAGCACCGGCUAACUCUGUGCCAGCCGCCGCGGUAACAC
rnacentral:rRNA from 1 species